ACAGAUAGAUCCAGACAGCAGACAUGAAGGAUGUUUCAUCAUCAUAUACAGGUAAUAACUAAUCCCUUCAGACAGGAAGACAGACAGAUAGAUCCAGACAGCAGACAUGAAGGAUGUUUCAUCAUCAUAUACAGGUAAUAACUAAUCCCUUCAGACAGGAAGACAGACAGAUAGAUCCAGACAGCAGACAUGAAGGAUGUUUCAUCAUCAUAUACAGGUAAUAACUAAUCCCUUCAGACAGGAAGACAGACAGAUAGAUCCAGACAGCAGACAUGAAGGAUGUUUCAUCGGGGGGAAAUUUGGUCAGGC